rnacentral:lncRNA from 1 species
GCCAUCCACCUUCUCCACAGAAUGUUUUCAAGCAGGGAGUUUAUUUAUAUGUUAAACUUAAAACCAAAAAAGGGAACUUCUGUUUGCAAAUGCAACUACUCAGGAUGUGACUGUAGUUCCCCAGUACAGUCACAUGACCCACUUUAUUUUUUUUAAAAAAGGCACUGCAGAAGAGCUAAAUUCAGAAAAUUUGGCUGAAACCACUCUGUUGUCAAAACUUCACGAUGAACUUACUAACAAGCUGGAUAUCAGUCCUAAUGGCAUUUCUUCUUCUCUUACAUUUUUGGAGAGCAAAGGUCUAUGCUUCUGGAAACUCAGAGGACGAAAUAGAUUUCACGUAUGUUAUUAUAGGAGUUACUCUGGGAGCAAUUCUAGCAAUCGGUUUUGUAGCAGUAAUAAUCUGCUUGAUCAAAAAACAGAUGAUUGACAUUGGAGAGUCAGAUGGCAAAAUGGAUAGAAGGUCAAACAUGGGAUCAAGCCAAAACAGGUACGUUCCAGGGGAAGGGGGUCUGGUGGAGCAGGGAGAGGGAGCGAUGGGACGAGGCAGACGCAUAGAAUUUCACAAAUGUAAUUCCAGCAGCUCCAUUAAUAAUUUUCUAGAAUUCCUCUAUUUUUUUUUUUAACCUGGGAAUCUCCCAGCUCAGCUUUUGUGACGAUGCCCUGGAUCAUGCCAGGUACAACCAAAGCCUUCUGGUUAGUUAUUGCUAACGCGUGAUGUUUCUUUCUUUUCAGAGACGACGUCAACGUACUUGGAAAACAAAGUACAAAUGAUCAAUAACCCUUUUGCGAUCAACAGUUACCUGCUCUGAGGAUCAAUAGAAGUCUCUUGAGCACAGGCAGGAGUCUCACCAACACCGAUUCCUUUCUUUGUUCUUUAAUUGAAAGACUGAUUGAUUGAUUACAGGAGGAGCUCAUAGUGCAUGCUAACUUCAAUCACCUGCACACAAAAAUCCUCAACAGCAUGUACCUGAAGGAAAUGUAUGAGGAAAACAAAAGAGAUGAGCUCUCCUCAUGAAUAGAUCCUGUUUAGCCUCUGACAAGUAUAUGUUUGAUUUCUAAAAUCAGUUAAAUACAGGGUAAUCAAAAAGGCAGUAAUACACUUCAGCAGCAGAAUUCAUGUGUUUCGAGAUAGGUAAAUAGUGACUGAAGUAACUUGAAAAAUCAUUCAUUUGAGGUUGAAGCAAAAUAAGGCUUCCCUUUUUUUUUUUUUUCAGGAAAUGUAUGUCUUGUGUUAAUAGGAAAACAUUUCAUUCACACUAAAGUUAUCUCUUUUAGCUUUAGGACUGAUGUCUUUUGUUUAACUGUAGGUGGUAGUGCUAAUUUCAGACAUUUAAAAUGAAUUGUGGUCAUUUAAAAUGAAAAAGUCCUUUUUGAAAGAAUGUUUUCCAUGUUUUGUUUUUAGAACAUGGAAAUGAAAACAGUUUUGCAUACUCAAAAAGUUUCUGGAGAUCUGAAACAAAACAUUUCACGUCAACAUUCUACAACCAAGCUAACCUAUUUCCAAAAUUCGCCCAACUCUGUUUUUCCUUAGCAUAAAACAGGGCAUUGAGUUCUCCCAACCCCUUCAUUCUUGUUCUAGCCUUAUACAUUCUGUUGAAUUUGAUGUCAUCAGAAUUGCUUUGCCUGGCUCCAAUUACAAGCUUCUUACAGCGGGAGUGACAACAAGAAAAAUUAGAGCUUUGUCUCAAAACAUUUAAAAUAGUUUAAAUAAUUUUAAAUGGUUUAAACCCAAGUUAUUUUGUAAACACAUCCCAGCUUUUACCAGACCUGUGAGCCUGUGGCUUCUGUCCCAAUUCAGAAAAUAAUGCUGUAGAUUCUAUUCUGUUUAAUCCCCUUCUUUAGAGAAUGCCGUGUUAUACAGAUGUUGUCAUCACAAGGUGCAUGAAAAACAGGAAGAUUUUGGUGUUUCAAGCCAGGCUUUCCUUUCAGCUUGGGGAAACAGGGCAGCAAAUGGCAUGCACGAUGUUAAUUAAUGGCAGAAUUAACAGGCAUAGCUGUUAUGCUACACUAUUCCAUUGCAACUUACAAAGAACCACUAUCCAGAUGCAAAGACCACAGGCUGGAAAUAGAUUGGAUCUUCCUAAACGUUUAGCUCAGGCCGAUGUCUAUAGACAUAUGGAUGUUUUUAAUUUCUCAUCUGACUUGCAUUCCUAAAGUUAACUUUCAAACCAGUGUCUGCUCUUAGUUAUGCCAUGUGACAGAUCAUAAUAAAGAAAGUUCUUUCCAGUUCUUCA